rnacentral:rRNA from 1 species
UACGUAGGGUGCAAGCGUUGUCCGGAAUUACUGGGCGUAAAGAGCUCGUAGGUGGUUUGUCGCGUUGUUCGUGAAAACUCACAGCUUAACUGUGGGCGUGCGGGCGAUACGGGCAGACUUGAGUACUGCAGGGGAGACUGGAAUUCCUGGUGUAGCGGUGGAAUGCGCAGAUAUCAGGAGGAACACCGGUGGCGAAGGCGGGUCUCUGGGCCGAUACUGACGCUGAGGAGCGAAAGCGUGGGGAGCGAACAGG